GAUCUUGAGCAUUUGCAUUCCUUCCGGUCUUAGCUGGUUUCAGCGAUGAUAUUUUCUAGUUGGUUCCUUUCGAUUCCAAGUCUUGAAGCCAAUAGAUGACGAUCAAGGUUCUUCAAUCGAUUUCGACGAGGCGGAAUUAGGAUUUGAAGGUUACGGGUGUCACACUACGAACUUGAUCAACUUUUGAUUUUAGCUCGGGUUAUUCGUCUUUUACAGUUUAUAUACAAAAAUUGAUCGAACGGAAAAAUGUAAUAAUUAUGACAAUGAUGCAAAAGCAUAAAACUUGCAAAGAGGAUUUUGGAAG